rnacentral:snoRNA from 1 species
CGCCGAUGAGGAAGAAUUCCCAAAGUAUAGGAAGUGCCGUAUGACACUUUAAACAGCAGCAGCUGC